UACGGAGGGUGCAAGCGUUGUCCGGAUUUAUUGGGUUUAAAGGGUGCGUAGGCGGCCCGUUAAGUCAGCGGUGAAAUCCCAGGGCUCAACCCUGGAACUGCCGUUGAUACUGGCGGGCUUGAGUUCGGUCGAGGCGGGCGGAACUGGUGGUGUAGCGGUGAAAUGCAUAGAUACCACCAAGAACCCCGAUUGCGAAGGCAGCUCGCUGGCCCGAAACUGACGCUGAGGCACGAAAGCGUGGGGAGCGAACAGG
rnacentral:rRNA from 2 species